GACGUAGGGCGCGAGCGUUGUCCGGAUUUAUUGGGCGUAAAGAGCUCGUAGGCGGCUUGUCGCGUCGACCGUGAAAACUUGGGGCUCAACCCCAAGCCUGCGGUCGAUACGGGCAGGCUAGAGUUCGGUAGGGGAGACUGGAAUUCCUGGUGUAGCGGUGAAAUGCGCAGAUAUCAGGAGGAACACCGGUGGCGAAGGCGGGUCUCUGGGACGGUACUGACGCUGAGACGCGAAAGCGUGGGGAGCGAACAGG
rnacentral:rRNA from 1 species